rnacentral:misc_RNA from 1 species
GAUGAAGAACGCAGCGAAAUGCGAUAAGUAAUGUGAAUUGCAGAAUUCAGUGAAUCAUCGAAUCUUUGAACGCAUCUUGCGCUCCUUGGUAUUCCUUGGAGCAUGCCUGUUUGAGUAUCAUGAGCAAACCUCAAAGUCAAUUCCUUUUGUUAAUUCAAUUGGUUUUGCUUUGGACUUGGAGGUCUUGCAGAUUUCACAGUCUGCUCCUCUUAAAUGCAUUAGCUGGAUCUCAGUAAUUAUGCUUGGUUCCGCUCGGCGUGAUAAGUAUCACUCGCUGAGGACACUGUUAAAAAGGUGGCCAGGAAAAUACUGAUUGAACCGCUUCUAACGGUCUAUUAAGUUAGACAAUUACCCUUAAGUUUGAUCUCAAAUCAGGUAGGACUACCCGCUGAACUUAAGCAUAUCAAUAAGCGGAGGA